UGAUAUUCAAGGGGUCUGUAGCCAUCCCCAGGAGCCUGCUGGGAGCAGUGAGGAUUCCAAAUCUUCUGCUUUCAAUAGAGGGAAAAUGCCUCAUCCAUACCAGUAGCAGUAAGCCAUUGUUGCUGUGGCACAGCAGUUGCUGCUCUGUAGCCCUUUCUGAAUUUUGUUCAGAUGAACUAUUUUCAAGUAUUGUUUUGAGAGAGAUCAUAAUGUAGCAGAAGUGGAAAUAAAGGCAUCUGUCUAUACUCUUCUUCAACUAACCAUGGCCAAGAAAAUCAUUAAAGCCAAUUAAAAACCAAA